GUGCUUAACACAUGCAAGUCGAACGGAAAGGUCUCUUCGGAGAUACUCGAGUGGCGAACGGGUGAGUAACACGUGGGUGAUCUGCCCUGCACUUCGGGAUAAGCCUGGGAAACUGGGUCUAAUACCGGAUAGGACCACGGGAUGCAUGUCUUGUGGUGGAAAGCGCUUUAGCGGUGUGGGAUGAGCCCGCGGCCUAUCAGCUUGUUGGUGGGGUGACGGCCUACCAAGGCGACGACGGGUAGCCGGCCUGAGAGGGUGUCCGGCCACACUGGGACUGAGAUACGGCCCAGACUCCUACGGGAGGCAGCAGUGGGGAAUAUUGCACAAUGGGCGCAAGCCUGAUGCAGCGACGCCGCGUGGGGGAUGACGGCCUUCGGGUUGUAAACCUCUUUCACCAUCGACGAAGGUCCGGGUUCUCUCGGAUUGACGGUAGGUGGAGAAGAAGCACCGGCCAACUACGUGCCAGCAGCCGCGGUAAUACGUAGGGUGCGAGCGUUGUCCGGAAUUACUGGGCGUAAAGAGCUCGUAGUGGUUUGUCGCGUUGUUCGUGAAAUC
rnacentral:rRNA from 1 species